GUCUCGUCCAUCCAGCCUCACGCAGAGUGCUGCUCUCUGCCUUCCUGCACGCCCGCGCCCCAGGAGGAGCCCCCAGCCCUCAACUGCAGCAGAAGCCACUGCCCAGCAAACAGCCUCACGCACUGCAAGGAAGCUGCCGCGGAGUGAGUGCUGGUGCCAGACCUUCAGCUCCGUGAGAGUGGGGAUCAAAUCUGUUUUGUUUUCUAUUGUCACCUGCAGCUGGGACGGCCCCUGACAGCCAACAGGCCCGAGGACUGUCGAAGGAGCCCAGCCUGUGAAGGUGAUGUGAUGCGAGCGACCUCGGCAGCCAACUGUCCCGUGGCCGAUGGAGCCAGAAAGAUCCCUUGAGGACACUGAGAUGCUUAGCAACAGGCACAGGGGAAGUGACUCGGGAUUCGGCAGAAGGAAGGAAGGAAGAGCUCCUCUUACAGAGGAUGAAACACGCAAAAGAGGACUGGUAACAGUUUGGAGGACAGCCCCAGGUGGCUCCGGGGAAACUUGUCAGACUUCUUGUCGUGGGAAAAACAAGAAGCCUUGUGGGAACAGUGUCUGGGGCUCAGCCAGGAGCAAAUAUUAAAAAGAAAAAAAAAAUUGUAGAAACCAACAAAGAAGCUAAAUCAACACCAAACCAAAAACCUCAUUUUGCUAUAAACCAGAUGCAU
rnacentral:lncRNA from 1 species